rnacentral:tRNA from 1 species
GCCCUGGUGGUGGAAUUGGUAGACACGUAUGCUUCAGGUGCAUAUGACCCCAGGUCGUGGAAGUUCGAGUCUUCUCCAGGGCACCA